ensembl:lncRNA
GGGACACUGAGAGAGAGAGAGAAAGAGAGAGUUGAUACUAAGAAGAAUGUCUCACACUCUGUAAGGUGAAAUACCAAUGUUUGGGCAUCAACAUGCCUUUUUCAGGGUUGUCUGGUUGAAAUGCAUCUCUCUCCCUCUCAGUGUCCAUGCUAUCUCCACCUCUCUUUUUCUUAGAUCUCUCUCCCUCUCUUUCUCUUCUCUCUCCCACCCUCUUAUUUUUCUUUCCCCCUCUCUCUUUUUCUCCUCCCCCCUCUGUCUUGUACCUCUCUCCCCCGCGCUCUUUCUCCUAUCCUCUUGCCUUCUCUUCCUUUCUCUCUCUUUACCCUCAUCCCUCCCUCUCACUCAUCCCUGCCUCCCCCCUCCCUCGCUGUGUCUCUCACAGCCUCUGCUCUGUAGUUCUUUUGUUUGGGUCAAGAGACAUCCCUACAGUCAUCUCCAGGGCUGAGCGCCUGGGAGACGGGAGAAAGCAGCAACAGGGGUACUUCUAGAAGAACCCAUUAUAUUCUCUGAUACUCCAGGAGCCAACCAGAGAAAUGUAUAGAUCUGCCAAUAAAACCAGCUAAGGAAAGUUGGAGCGCGAUAGAUUACAUCAUGUAUUUUCUGAAUAACUUUCAAAAACUUCAGAUAUCUAAUAGCUCUUAAAUGGGCUGAAUCCUCUGCAGGGUUGUCAACACAUGCCAUGGAAGGUCUAGUGCCCACUGGUUUUUGUUUUGUUUAAGACAACUGGGACAUUACUGGUGGGCCUGGUAACCCAGCCAGCCAGAGGAAUCCUUCUCAUUAAUAGCUGAUGUACAGGACAAUUAUCAAGGACCGGAGACUGAAACCGGAGAGGGGGAGCUGUUGGUUACCUGAGCCCCAGAGAGAUGACUCUCCAAAGGCCAGCUGCUCAGCUGGGGGGGGACCAGAGUUGGAGGAGAUCAGCGGACCAGUCGUACUGGGACACUCUCAUAUCGGAGGUGGAGGUGGUACCCCGACGCACGGCUGUUACAGGACGCAGCGCUCCCCGGCCACAGAGUGCCGUCGAGGGGACAGACCUGGGGCAGAGACUGGACGGUUGGCCGGAGAAGAUGCAGAGCAAGAACAACUACAGAAGAGGAAGCCAAGUUCUCAGCCCUGGCAGCAAGCCAAAUGAACAAGUGGCAAAACCGUGGCCACCACCUCCACGAGCCCGCGUCCGGCCGCAGAGCGCCACAGAGGGAAGCCGUCAGAUGAACGAGUGGUUGCACGAGUUGGAGAGGAUGCAGAAUGGGGGCUAUUUCGGGGGAAGCCCCUCCGUCAACCCGGAGGUGGAGCAUUGCCGGACUGGUCAUCCCCCGCGACCACAGAGCGCCACCGAGGGACACAGCCAGAACCUAGACCGAUGGUUGCAGGAGCUAGAGAGAAUGGAGGACGGGAGCUAUUUUGGAAACUCUAAGCGAGUACAGACAGAGUGCAGACAGGCCCCUUUCCACGACAGGACGUCCUCCAUGCCGGCCCUUCACAGAGAGCCCGUUGGCCCCAGGCUGCUCCACUGCCACCGGGGCCUCUCACCUUCCUCCUCUCUGUGCGGCUGGGACGAAGGUCUCUCUUCAGACUUCCCCAGCCUGUGUGACAGUUCCCUGGGCAGCCAGGAGUCCCUCGGAGGCGGGUUGUCCUCCGACCCGGAACACAGGGGCAGCUGGGAGAGAGCUAGCAUCAAGCAGGCUCCAGGGAGGGAGCAUGCCGAACUCAGCACCCUGACUCCGGUGAGAGUGGGCUGGCUACCCGUCCGGAAGAGGGCCCCGAUGAGGAAUGCCCUGGUCCCUCGACAAACCCAAACCGGCCUUCCAGAGAACUCUGCCAACCAGGUGAUAUUAAAGCUUCCCAUCACCCCUACCUUCGUGAAGGUUCCUGUCAAGGACAACGACCUACGAUUCUCAGAUGCAGGCGCAGAGAAAGUGGAGCGGAGUCAAAGCAGCGUUCACGUCGUGGAUCCUGGAACAAGAUGGCUUCCUGACCAGCGACCUGCCCGGGAGUCUCCCAUCACUCAACAGGUCGCCGGCAAGCAGAGCUCCACCUCAGCGCAGAGUGAAACUAGACCAUUAGGUUGGCAGGCCCUGAGGCGGACCUGGGCUAAGAGGACAUGGUUGUCCCCCCUCAGAGGUGGUGGGCCUCCCCAGUCUAAAGACUCCCUCCCUGGGCCUGGUGCGGAAAAGGAGCCUGUCGGGACAACCAGCGAUACCCAGCAGCCUUCAGCCAGGAGGGUUACACCCUGUGGAACCAAGCUGACCCCACAAUCCACUGACAACCCGGAACCCUGUUGGAGAUCGAGUCUACGCCGGACCAACAGCUUCCAAACGGCUCUGACCAGGACCAUCAAGCCGGCUGUCCAACAGACGCCCACACACGCCAAGGUAACCCCUUCUGGAAGCUGUCCCACCCAGCCUUCCGACACUGGAGUUGGGGAGGGAUCGGCCGGUGCAGCCCCAACUGGUACGACCAUCACCCUGAAGACAGCCAGACAAGCCUUUUCCUCCAUCACCAUAGCCUCCAAGAAGGUCUCCAGGACGGCAAGCCUCCCUGGGUCUAGGUCCACCAGCCCCCAGAUCCACUACACUACGCCGCCCAGGGUCUCCACCAGCUCCCGCUCUGUCACCCAUCAAGACCAGGUCCAUCACCCCACCAGUGCUGAUCCCAACUCCACCUGUGCCAACCUGAGCCGGAUGUCCACAGGGAUGGACUCUGAAACUGUCAACCAAACGAAGGGCUGGCAGAGCCCUGUGUUGCCUGGUGACAGUGACCGUCCAACUGACCCUGUGGUUAGCAGGAGAAAGGUAACAAUCAUAAAAGUGACAGAGAACAGACACAGCUACAGUCCAGGUCAGCAGGGGGGAGGCGGUAGUGAGGGGAACAGCAGCAGUAGGCCUUCAGAGAACAGACACAGCUACAGUCCAGGUCAGCAGGGGGGAGGCAGUAGUGAGGGGAACAGCAGCAGUAGGCCUUCAGAGAACAGACACAGCUACAGUCCAGGUCAGCAGGGGGGAGGCGGUAGUGAGGGGAACAGCAGCAGUAGGCCUUCAGAGAACAGACACAGCUAUAGUCCAGGUCAGCAGGGGGGAGGCAGUAGUGAGGGGAACAGCAGCAGUAGGCCUUCAGAGAACAGACACAGCUACAGUCCAGGUCAGCAGGGGGGAGGCGGUAGUGAGGGGAACAGCAGCAGUAGGCCUUCAGAGAACAGACACAGCUACAGUCCAGGUCAGCAGGGGGGAGGCGGUAGUGAGGGGAACAGCAGCAGUAGGCCUUCAGAGAACAGACACAGCUACUGUGAUGGAGUAAUGACAAAAAACAGUCUCAGGCAACAAGGAACCAGGAACUCUGAAGAGCCGCCACACGGUGCCAGCACCAGCACCGUGUUCUCGUCGGGGCAUCUAGAACCGUCCACGGACAGCAAAGACUGGCCAAACCAUGGUCCAAACCGGGGCCCGAACCGAUCCACUUCAGCAGCUCCAGUUACCUCUUGGGAAUCCGCGGGCAGCAGGGCAGGAGCAGGGAGGCCAAUGCAUAAGUCCACCCUGACCCUGUUCAUCAACCAGCCCUCCGCCUCUCCCAAGGACGUGUCCGCGGAAACGAAAAGGGAAACGGGAGAAGGAGGAGAGAGAAGGGCCCGACCCAGGAGACCCAUAAGCUGCUACGCCAACAUGUUUGAACACACGGAGCCAACUAAGUGGAGCCUGGGCCCCGAUGCUGUCAGUGCAGAACCAAGUUCGUCCGCGGCACAACACCGGAGCCUGGGAGCCGUUACUUCACCACCGGCCUCUGCCACACCGCGGCGUUGGAGCCUGGGGCUUCCUCGCCACAUGCCGGAAACCUGCAUUGAUCCGGUAGCAAUUUCCAAGGACGCCGGCGCUGGAAACAGUUCGACCGCCGGAUUGCUCAGCUCCGGAUCUUCCGUCAGAACCGGAGCAACAGGCAGAGGCUGUGGGACGGGUCGACCGGGCGAGGACCAGUCCUCCGGAGAAGAUGCGGGCGGGGCUGGGAGAACGCCAGAUUCAGCUCUGUCUCCGGACGAGGAAGGCUUCAGGAGCAGACAACCCCAACCCCCAGCUGUCACACUCAUCAAGCCCCAAGACCCAAUAUCACAGCAGCACUCUCCAGAGACUAUCCUAGCCCUGAACGCAGCUGCCAUCAUAGCUAAUAUCAAACUCCAAAGACAACUGAGCCAAACCAAGACUUUGUCUCAAAAUGGCCUUUCCAACGCUAGAAAAUCACCUCAGGGAAAUACUUUGGACUCAGUCUCUCAAAUCACUCACUCGACUCACUCACUCGACUCUCGUACAGUGAAUGAUGCUGGUGGUCUCGUGACAGUAGAGGCUCAUGACAGGACUACCAAACCAGAGAAAAGGAGUCGGACCUCACAACCCAACCCGGACCAUGUAGUGUUUGUACCACUGGAUCCCAAUUCUGACCGUGAUACUAGCACAGACAACAUCCUCUCACCAAGAGAGGCUCUGGAACGAUCCAGACCAGACUUCAUCAGGCGUUCCCAGGGCAGAGUGAGAGAUAUGGAGAGAAGGGCAGAGGAGAGACGGGCAGAGGAGAGACGGGCAGAGGAGAGACGGGCAGAGGAGAGGUCAGAGCGCCUGUUCUCGGAACAACUUUCAGAUAACCUUUUCAGACCCAGAGAUAGAGCCAUUACAGGGAAGACGAUAUAUCACGGAACACGACUGUGAGUUACAUCUCAAUCCCUACCCUCCUCCCUCCCUCUCCUCCCUCUCUCUCUUCCUCUCUAAUUCUCUUCCUCACCCUCUUUCCUCUCCCUCCCCCCCUCCCUUUCAUUCUCUCUCAAUCCCUCUCUUUCUCUCCAUCUCCCUGUCAAUCCCCCCUCUCUGUCUCUUCCUUUCUAACGCCGUCUUUCUUUACCUAUCUGUGUCUCUUUGAAAUAAUUUUUUGUUCAAAGCAUUUCUAUUUUAAAGGGCGUUAUUGGCAUGGGAAUUUUUUGGUGUGGAAAAUCCACUCCUGCAGCUCUUCAUCUACACUGAACAAAAUUAUAAACGCAACCCUUUUGUUUUUGCCCCCAUUUAUCAUGAGCUGAACUCAAAGAUCUAAGACUUUCUCUAUGUACACAAAAGGCCUUUUUCUCUCAAAUAUUGUUCACAAAUCUGUCUAAAUCUGUGUUAAUGAGCACUUCUCAUUGGCAGAGAUAAUCCAUCCACCUCACGGGUGUGGCAUAUCAAGAUGCUAAUUAGACAGCAUGAUUAUUUCACAGGUGCCUUAGACUGGCCACAAUAAAAGGCCACUCUAAAAUG